GGUUAUUUCCUUUAAAAAGGGCCCCCUUGUCCUUAGUUACCAGCACGUUAAGGUGCCCACUCUAAGGAGACUGCCGGUGACAAACCGAAGGAAGGUGGGGAUGACGUCAAGUCAUCAUGGCCCUUACGGCCUGGGCUACACACGUGCUACAAUGGUCGGUACAAAGGGUUGCCAAGCCGCGAGGUGGACCUAAUCCCAUAAAACCGAUCGUAGUCCGGAUCGCACUCUGCAACUCGACUGCGUGAAGUCGGAAUCGCUAGUAAUCGUGAAUCAUAAUGUCACGGUGAAUACGUUCCCGGGCCUUGUACACACCGCCCGU
rnacentral:rRNA from 1 species